rnacentral:rRNA from 1 species
UACGUAGGGGGCAAGCGUUGUCCGGAAUUAUUGGGCGUAAAGAGCGUGUAGGCGGUCCGGUAAGUCAGCUGUGAAAGUCAAGGGCUCAACCCUUGAAUGCCGGUUGAUACUGUCGGGCUAGAGUCCGGAAGAGGCGAGUGGAAUUCCCGGUGUAGCGGUGAAAUGCGCAGAUAUCGGGAGGAACACCAAUGGCGAAGGCAGCUCGCUGGGGCGGUACUGACGCUGAGACGCGAAAGCGUGGGGAGCAAACAGG